GGGGGGGGGGUGCCUAUACAUGCAAGUCGAGCGGACAGAAGGGAGCUUGCUCCCGGAUGUUAGCGGCGGACGGGUGAGUAACACGUGGGUAACCUGCCUGUAAGACUGGGAUAACUCCGGGAAACCGGAGCUAAUACCGGAUAGUUCCUUGAACCGCAUGGUUCAAGGAUGAAAGACGGUUUCGGCUGUCACUUACAGAUGGACCCGCGGCGCAUUAGCUAGUUGGUGAGGUAACGGCUCACCAAGGCGACGAUGCGUAGCCGACCUGAGAGGGUGAUCGGCCACACUGGGACUGAGACACGGCCCAGACUCCUACGGGAGGCAGCAGUAGGGAAUCUUCCGCAAUGGACGAAAGUCUGACGGAGCAACGCCGCGUGAGUGAUGAAGGUUUUCGGAUCGUAAAGCUCUGUUGUUAGGGAAGAACAAGUGCAAGAGUAACUGCUUGCACCUUGACGGUACCUAACCAGAAAGCCACGGCUAACUACGUGCCAGCAGCCGCGGUAAUACGUAGGUGGCAAGCGUUGUCCGGAAUUAUUGGGCGUAAAGGGCUCGCAGGCGGUUUCUUAAGUCUGAUGUGAAAGCCCCCGGCUCAACCGGGGAGGGUCAUUGGAAACUGGGAAACUUGAGUGCAGAAGAGGAGAGUGGAAUUCCACGUGUAGCGGUGAAAUGCGUAGAGAUGUGGAGGAACACCAGUGGCGAAGGCGACUCUCUGGUCUGUAACUGACGCUGAGGAGCGAAAGCGUGGGGAGCGAACAGGAUUAGAUACCCUGGUAGUCCACGCCGUAAACGAUGAGUGCUAAGUGUUAGGGGUUUCCGCCCCUUAGUGCUGCAGCUAACGCAUUAAGCACUCCGCCUGGGGAGUACGGUCGCAAGACUGAAACUCAAAGGAAUUGACGGGGGCCCGCACAAGCGGUGGAGCAUGUGGUUUAUUCGAAGCAACGCGAAGAACCUUACAAGUCUUGACAUCCUCUGACAACCCUAGAGAUAGGGCUUUCCCUUCGGGGACAGAGUGACAAGGUGGUGCAUGGUUGUU
rnacentral:rRNA from 1 species